rnacentral:rRNA from 1 species
AGGACGAACGCUGGCGGCGUGCUUAACACAUGCAAGUCGAGCGGAAAGGCCCUUCGGGGUACUCGAGCGGCGAACGGGUGAGUAACACGUGAGCAACCUGCCCUUAGCUCCGGGAUAGCUCCGGGAAACCGGAAUUAAUACCGGAUACGACCACGGCCGACAUCUGCUGUGGUGGAAAGGAUUCCGGCUAAGGAUGGGCUCGCGGCCUAUCAGCUAGUUGGUGGAGUAACGGCCCACCAAGGCGACGACGGGUAGCCGGCCUGAGAGGGCGACCGGCCACACUGGGACUGAGACACGGCCCAGACUCCUACGGGAGGCAGCAGUGGGAAUAUUGCGCAAUGGGCGAAAGCCUGACGCAGCGACGCCGCGUGGGGGAUGAAGGCCUUCGGGUUGUAAACCCCUUUCAGCAGGGACGAAGCGAAAGUGGCGGUACCUGCAGAAGAAGCGCCGGCUAACUACGUGCCAGCAGCCGC